GCUUGUUUCCUGGAGCCAGAAGAGGGGUUUUCUUCUUUUCUUUCCUUUCUUUUUUCCUUUUUUUUUUUUUUUUAAAUUUUUGGUCGUGCACCUGGCUUGUCCCCGAGCGUAAUAUUCUUCAAUGGAAACGGAUCUAAUAGGUGUGAGUGUGUGUGUGUCCUAUGCUCGCGUGUGUGAUGGGAGGUAUAAAUAAAUGAGUGCCGGUGCGGCGGUGUCUAUGGCCGCGCUCUGUGUCUCCGAGCCCCUAACACUAAUGUCGGGAUCAAAGGGCAGCGGCGGCGGCAGCACAGCUCACAGCUCGCUCUCUUGCUCUCUCUCUCUCUCUUUCUCGCUCUCUCUCCUCUCGCGCUCUCUCUCUCGCUCUCUCUCUGUCACACACACACACACACAAGAG
rnacentral:lncRNA from 10 species